rnacentral:rRNA from 1 species
GACGAACGCUGGCGGCGUGCCUAAUACAUGCAAGUCGAGCGGAGGUGUUGGAGCUUGCUCCAACAUCUUAGCGGCGGACGGGUGAGUAACACGUGGGCAACCUGCCCUGCAGAUCGGGAUAACUCCGGGAAACCGGUGCUAAUACCGAAUAGUUUGCGGCCUCUCAUGAGGCCACACGGAAAGACGGUUUCGGCUGUCACUGCAGGAUGGGCCCGCGGCGCAUUAGCUAGUUGGUGAGGUAACGGCUCACCAAGGCCACGAUGCGUAGCCGACCUGAGAGGGUGAUCGGCCACACUGGGACUGAGACACGGCCCAGACUCCUACGGGAGGCAGCAGUAGGGAAUCUUCCGCAAUGGACGAAAGUCUGACGGAGCAACGCCGCGUGAGUGAAGAAGGUUUUCGGAUCGUAAAACUCUGUUGUGAGGGAAGAACAAGUACCAACUAACUACUGGUACCUUGACGGUACCUCACCAGAAAGCCACGGCUAACUACGUGCCAGCCGCCGCCGUAACAC